UACGAAGGGGGCUAGCGUUGCUCGGAAUCACUGGGCGUAAAGGGCGCGUAGGCGGCGUUUUAAGUCGGGGGUGAAAGCCCGGGGCUCAACCUCGGAAUUGCCUUCGAUACUGGACAUCUUGAGUACGGGAGAGGUGAGUGGAACUCCGAGUGUAGAGGUGAAAUUCGUAGAUAUUCGGAAGAACACCAGUGGCGAAGGCGACUCACUGGCCCGUUACUGACGCUGAGGCGCGAAAGCGUGGGGAGCAAACAGG
rnacentral:rRNA from 1 species